rnacentral:misc_RNA from 1 species
GUAGGUGAACCUGCGGAAGGAUCAUUAAUGAAACUUGGGAGGAUUGAUGCUAGAACUUGUUCUAUGCGCUCCUUCCUUAAUCCAUACACACCUGUGCACUUUGAGAGGAGGAAUUGGCUCACGCCGAUAUCUCCUUUCCUACACAAACCCUUCUUGAAAAACGAAUGUUCAUUGGCCGAAAGGCUCUAAAUAAUACAACUUUUAACAACGGAUCUCUUGGCUCUC